UGCCUACGGGAGGCAGCAGUGGGGGAUAUUGCACAAUGGAGGAAACUCUGAUGCAGCGACGCCGCGUGAGGGAAGACGGUCUUCGGAUUGUAAACCUCUGUCUUUGGGGAAGAAAAUGACGGUACCCAAAGAGGAAGCUCCGGCUAACUACGUGCCAGCAGCCGCGGUAAUACGUAGGGAGCGAGCGUUGUCCGGAUUUACUGGGUGUAAAGGGAGCGUAGACGGAAUUGCAAGUCUGAUGUGAAAAUCCGGGGCCCAACCCCGGAACUGCAUUGGAAACUGUAUUUCUAGAGUGUCGGAGAGGG
rnacentral:rRNA from 1 species